GUUUUCCAUUGUGUGCCCUUAUGAACAGGAGCCAGGUCUGUAAGCCUAGCUAAGUCAAGGACCAGGGUUAAGGGUGCAUCAAGGAUUGGUCAGGCUCAGAGGUCAAGCCUGACAGAUUUCAUGCUUUAAUUUGGACUGUCAUGCUCUAGAUUACCACUGGAGAUGGAGAACUCUGAGUCAACCCAAGUAAGUCAACCUAGAACGAUGCUGACUUUGCCAGGUUUUUCCUAACAUGGUUUGUACAAAUCUCAAGAUCUUCCAGAAGAUGUGUGAGGGUGUGGAGACUACAACUCUAGGCCCAGGGUGUGGGGCUUACCUAAGGGAGAUGCCAAGUAAUCUAACAGCACCUACAUGUAUGAUAAACUACAUGUGGGUACACCAUCCAGGAAUGAAGGACCUGAGCCCUAGGACCAUGCCUCAGGACUACCUGGCAUGAUGACUCCUUGCUGUCCCCAGUCCACCUGGCCGUGCUGCUGCUCCAGUUUCAAUUGUUCUGCCUGCGGCUAUGUAACCCGGACCUGUUCACCGGACGUGCUACCUGUCCCAGACCUGCUGUUUUCAACUCUCUAAAGACAGAAGUAGCGGUAGAGAUACUCUGAAUGAUCGGCUAUGAAAAGCCAACUGACAUUUACUCUUGAGGUGCUGACUUGUUGCACCCUCGACAACUACUGUGAUUAUUAUUAUUUGACCAUGCUGGUCAUUUAUGAACAUUUGAACAUCUUGGCCAUGUUCUGUUAUAAUCUCCACCCGGCACAGCCAGAAGAGGACUGGCCACCCCUCAUAGCCUGGUUCCUCUCUAGGUUUCUUCCUAGGUUUUGGCCUUUCUAGGGAGUUUUUCCUAGCCACCGUGCUUCUACACCUGCAUUGCUUUCUGUUUGGGGUUUUAGGCUGGGUUUCUGUACAGCACUUUGAGAUAUCAGCUGAUGUAAGAAGGGCUAUAUAAAUACAUUUGAUUUGAUUCCUGGUUCUUUAUAAAAUGGCUGCUGUCAAAAUUAGCAGUGAAGAAGUGUGUGUAAUUAUGAAUGAUCAUUUUUCUGAGUGUGAUAUUCAAAUGUUUUCUAGUAAGUGAAUGUCUCAGGAAUAGUUAAGUCGUCAAGACUGUGUAAUAAUGUUUUCACAUUAAAUAAUAACUAUCAAGAAAUGUCCUCUGUAGUGGACACCCGGAUGCCGUAACAAUUUUUUUCACUUACUGUACCCAUUGACUAAUGUAUUUUUUUUCUUUCACAUUUUCGUCCUAAUGACCACUACAGAGGAAAAUGGUGCACUUUUAAUAAAAGAUAAAUAACAAUAUAUUUUUUUUAAACAA
rnacentral:lncRNA from 1 species